UACGUGACCACGCCCACUUCACAGGCCAGCAAACUGAGGCUCAGCGAGGGUAGGCGGCAGGCCCAGUGUUGCAGAACUCAGGCCGUCUUCCCGACCACCCGGGCAGGCCUUGUGCUGGACACUGAUGAUAUGGAAAUGAACUGGCCAUGGCUUCUGCCCUCAAGAAACUCUUAGUCUCAAGGAGAGACGGACAGGGAAGCGAACGCACACAGUAUAUUAAGACAAUGGGAAGUCUGGUACAGGAUGCAUUGGAAUUUGGAGGAAGGAGCCUGCUUGGUGACAUCACAGAAGUCUUCCCAGAGGAAGUGGCAUUCAAUUGGCGAAUGAGCAAAUUAACUGUGAUAUAUCCAUAUAAUGAACUAUUAUUCAGCAAUAAAAGGAAAUCAUCUAUCUAGCCAUGAAAAGACACAGAGCGGCAUAUUGCUAAGUGAAAGAAGCCAGUCUGAAAAAACCAUGUACUGUAUGAUUCCAAUUGUAGGGCGUUCUGGAAAAAAGGAAACUUCUACAUAAGGUAAACAAAUGACUGGUUGCCAGGGGUGAUGAGGGGUAGAAUUAAGUAGCUGAACAAGGGAUGUUUUAAAUAAUUGUUUAAAAGUUUAUGUGUUUUUUGUAAUGUUCUUUCACAUUAAAAAUUUAUUUUUUAGUGUU